rnacentral:lncRNA from 10 species
UGGAAUUAUCUUUACUAGUGCUCUUAUUAUUUUUUUGUAUGACUUUAAGUUAGUCUAGUGUUCUUUCAUUUCAGCCUUAAGGUCUCGCUUUAGCAUUUACUAUAUGGCAGAUCUGCUAGAAACAAACUCCCUUCAUUUUUGCUUUUCAGGGAAUGUCUUAGUUUCUCCUUCAUUCUUGAAGGAUAAUUUCCCUGGAAUAUAAUUCUUCAUUGACAGCUUUUUUCUCCCCAGCAUCUUGAAUAUGUUAUCCUUACAGCCGUCUGGCCCCCGUGGAUUCUGAUAAGAAAUUACAUUGAGGAUCACUUUUACAUAGUGAGUCACUUCUCUCUUGCUGCUUUAAAUAUUUUUUUUUUUUUAAGUUUGUCUGUCGUGUCUCAUUGUGGAUCCCUUUGGGUUUAUCCUGUUUGGAAUUCAGUUUCUUGGAUUCUUAUCUUUCAGAUUUUAGAGGUUUUCAACCAUUAUAUCAUCUUCAAAUAUUGUCUUUUUGUCUCCCUCUGAUACUGCCAUAAUGUGUAUGUUGGUGAGCUUGAUGGGCUUCCACAAGUCCUUUGGCUUUUCUUCAUUCUUUUCUCUUUCUGUUCCUUAGACUGAUUUUUUGAGACAGGGUCUCACUCUGUCACCCAGGCUGGAGUGCAGUGGCAUGAUCACAGCUCAUUGCAGCCUCAACCUCCCAGGCUGAGGUGAUCCUCCUCCCAGUUCAGCCUCCAAGUUGCUGGGAACUACAGGUGUGUGCCACUAUGCCUGGCUAAUUUUUUUUUUUUUUUUGUAGAGAUGGGGUCUUGCCAUGUUGCCCAGGCUAGUUUCAAACUCCUGUGCUCAAGCAAUUCUCCCGCCUUGGCCUCCCAAAGUGCUGGGAUUACAGGCAUGAGCCACCAAGCCCAGCCUCAGACUGUAUUUUUUUCAAUUAUUCUGUUUUCAAGUUUGCUGGUUCCUCUUUGUACCUACUCAAACCUGCUGUUGAACCCCUCUAGUGUAUUUUCAAAAAUUUCAAGUUAGUAUACAUUUGAGCUCCAGCGUUUCUGUGUGGUUCUAUUUUAUACUUUGUUUCUUUAUUGAGAUUUCAUUCAUAGUGUUUUCCUGGUUUCCUUUUUAGUUCAUUUGUCCAUGGUUUCUUUUACCUCCCCAGCUUUUCUUCCCAGGUUUUAGGCAGUCCAUUGUAUAUUUAUUUCAACUAUAAUCUUUUACC